AACGCAGACCGCACUUUGCAUAUCACUUGUGUUAUCGCAAGGUAUUUACGUAUGAGUGUCAGCCUAAUAUAUUUUUGGUUUGAGGGUAUAUUAAUUUAUAUUUUCGAAUUCACAUGCAUGUAUCAUUUUUGAUACAAGCAUUUAACAAAUAUUAUGUCUGGCCUCAUAUGUGAAAGAUUACCCGCUGGAUUUAA
rnacentral:misc_RNA from 1 species